GCAUACGGACAGACAGACAGUGCAGUCACCCAUAAAGUAGAAAGCACUACUAACAGCACUGGAGGGUGUAGUGUUUCCUACUUUAUGGAUGAGUGUACUGUGGGCUUCGGAGACGCCGC
rnacentral:pre_miRNA from 15 species